GUCCAGGAGCGGGAAUCGAACCCACAACCUUCUGCUUACCGGGCAGGUGCCAUGUCCACUAAGCUAUCUUGGA
rnacentral:tRNA from 1 species